rnacentral:lncRNA from 13 species
GCUCUUGUUACCCAGGCUGGAGCGCAAUGGCGCAAUCUCGGCUCACUGCAACCUCCGCCUCCUGGGUUCAGGCAAUUCUCCUGCCUCAGCCUCCUGAGUAGCUGGGAUUACAGGCACGCACCACUGUGCCCAGCUAAUUUUUUUUUGUAUUUUUAGUAGAGACGGGGUUUCACCAUGUUGACCAGGACGGUCUCGAUCUCUUGACUUCGUGAUUCACCCACGUUGGCCUCCCAAAGUGCUGGGAUUACAGGCGUGAGCCACCGCGCCCGGCCUUUAUUUUUAUUUUUCCAUUGUUUUUAGAGACAGGGUCUCAUGGCCGGGUGCGGUAGCUCACGCCUGUAAUCCAAGCACUUUGGAGGCCAAGGCAGGCAGAUCACCUGAGGUCAGGAGUUCAAGACCAGCCUGACCAACAUGGUGAAACCCUGUCUUAAAAAAAAGAAAAGAAAAGAAAAAACUAAAAAAAAGAGACAGAGUUUCUCUAUAUUACCCAGGCUGGAGUACAAUGGCAUGAUCAUAGCUGACUGUAAUUUUGGACUCCUGGGCUCAAGCAAUUCUUUUACCUCAGCCUCCUAAGUAGCUGGGACUAGGGGCACACAUUACCAUGGUCAGCUAAUUUUUUUUUUGUAGAGUUAGUGUCUCACUAUUUUGUCCAGGCUGGUCUGGAGCUCCUGGCCUCAAGUGAUUCUCCUGCCUUGGCCUCCCAAAGAGCUGGGAUUAUAGGAAUGAGCCACUGUGGCUGGCCUGACUUUAAAUACAUAUGUUAUAUUUGAUUUGAACUAAAUAUGUCAUAUUAAGCAAGACCAGUCCUAGGCCAAAUCUCUCGUGAGGAUCCCUUGCCUCCCUUCUGUGUGACAGUUGCUAUCAUUUAUUUAGGUGACAGUCAAAGCUGCCGCUCCCCCAGACACCAGAAAGUAAGUUGGUUUCAUGCUCUGCCUCUCCUAGGGAUCUUGAAUUAUAAAGGAGUGCCUCUCAGGUGGAAUUCAUGGCAAUUCAUCCUUCCUGGUGACAGUUCAGUUCUUCAAGUCACCAGAAGGGCAGAAGGCCAGCUCUGCAGGGAAGCAUAUCUAUAUCUGUCCCUGGGAUAUCAGUGAGGCCUCACUGAGUGAAGCCAAGCCCACAGCAAGUCCAGGAUGCCUGCAAAGCUGGAAGGUGAGCUGCAAAUCUGGCCCCAUCCCUGUAGCCCAAGAGAGCACACACCCAUGCACUUUGGGUCAGACUAAGGGGUAUAUAAGGUGCAUGAGGCCAGUCUCUGCCUGCAGACAACUAAGUCUGUCAGAGGAGUUCGAACUCGAGUGACUCCAUCUUGAAGAACGGUAGAGUAAAAUAAGGGUGAGAGCUACUGGGCUGCAUUCCCAGGAAGUUAGGCAUUCUAUAAGUCACAGGAUGAGAUAGGAGGUUGGCACAAGAUACAGGUCACAAAGAUC